UAUUAAUAAUCAGUUAUGCUGUAGAUAGAUAACUUAAAUAUAUUCUCGCAGUCUUAAUUGUCUUCUAUCAUCUUUUGGUUUAGAUUAAUAAUAGAGUUACAAAUGGAAAAUGAGGUGCGUAAGUGGAAAGAAAAAAAAUGGAAAGAACUACAGGCUUGCAAGUUCUUCUGUCAAAAGAUAGCACUGCAGGACGUCAGGAAGCAACCACGAGACAUGCAUGAAAAAUAUAACAAAUUGAAAGAAGAUUUUGUCUAUAAUCUGAGAAUUCUGGAAGAGAGAGAUAAAGAGUUAGAACACUAUGAUGCCAUGAUCACUCAUCUGAAAGCUUCUGAAAAUGCUAAAAAGGCAGAGAUUAGUGAUCUUAGAAUACAGCUAGAUGAACUGGAGCAAGCACUUGUGAAGGAAAGAAAAAAACAAGAGGAAAUGUAUCACUAUCAACCAAAUCAUAAAGACCAUAAAUUACAGCUGUAAUGGUCUUGCAGGUUUAAGAACAGCAGGAUAGGUCAUCAGUGUGAGGACUGUUUGAGUCUAAAACAUGUCAUGGAAAGAAAACUCCAAGAACUGGAAGGAGAACUUGUGUGUCAGAAACAGGAACUGCAAUCUGAAUUUGAUGCAGAAAUGAAAAGACAAGAAUGUGAGUUUCGACAGCAGACGAACAAGAUGA